GAUGAACGCUAGCGACAGGCCUAACACAUGCAAGUCGAGGGGCAGCGGGGAUGAAGCUUGCUUCAUCUGCCGGCGACCGGCGCACGGGUGAGUAACACGUAUGCAACCUGCCCGCCACAGGGGGAUAAACGCUGGAAACGGCGCCUAAUACCCCAUACUAUCGCUAUGCUGCAUGGCAUGGCGAUGAAAACUCCGGUGGUGGCGGAUGGGCAUGCGGCGCAUUAGCUGGUUGGGGGGGUAACGGCCCACCAAGGCGACGAUGCGUAGGGGUUCUGAGAGGAAGGUCCCCCACACUGGUACUGAGACACGGACCAGACUCCUACGGGAGGCAGCAGUGAGGAAUAUUGGGUCAAUGGGCGGGAGCCUGAACCAGCCAAGUCGCGUGAGGGAAGACGGCCCUACGGGUUGUAAACCUCUUUAGUCGGGGAGCAAAAAGGACCACGCGUGGUCCAUUGAGCGUACCCGAGAAUAAGCAUCGGCUAACUCCGUGCCAGCAGCCG
rnacentral:rRNA from 1 species